rnacentral:rRNA from 1 species
UCACUCCUACGGGAGGCAGCAGUGGGGGAAUAUUGCACAAUGGGGGAAACCCUGAUGCAGCCAUGCCGCGUGUGUGAAGAAGGCCUUCGGGUUGUAAAGCACUUUCAGUAGGGAGGAAGGUAGUGUAGUUAACACCUGCAUUAUUUGACGUUACCUACAGAAGAAGCACCGGCUAACUCCGUGCCAGCAGCCGCGGUAAUACGGAGGGUGCGAGCGUUAAUCGGAAUUACUGGGCGUAAAGCGCAUGCAGGCGGCCUGUUAAGUCAGAUGUGAAAGCCCGGGGCUUAACCUCGGAAUUGCAUUUGAAACUGGCAGGCUAGAGUCUUGUAGAGGGGGUAGAAUUUCAGGUGUAGCGGUGAAAAUGCGUAGAGAUCUGAAGGAAUACCAGUGGCGAAGGCGGCCCCCUGGACAAAGACUGACGCUCAGAUGCGAAAGCGUGGGGAGCAAACAGGAUUAGAUACCCUGGUAG